rnacentral:rRNA from 1 species
UACGUAGGGAGCAAGCGUUGUUCGGAUUUACUGGGCGUAAAGGGCGCGUAGGCGGCAAAUUAAGUCAGCUGUGAAAUCUCCGAGCUUAACUCGGAACGGUCAGCUGAUACUGAUCUGCUAGAGUGCGGAAGGGGCAAUCGGAAUUCUUGGUGUAGCGGUGAAAUGCGUAGAUAUCAAGAGGAACACCUGAGGUGAAGACGGGUUGCUGGGCCGACACUGACGCUGACAGCGCGAAAGCCAGGGGAGCAAACGGG